rnacentral:lncRNA from 1 species
AAUUCUAUAACAUUUCCCCAAGUUUAUUAACCUUAACUUAAUACAUACCUUCAAUAUCUUAGAAGAUUUACAAUGCUAUUUUCGUCCGAAAAUUUAAUAGAUCUAACUGCAACAUAAUUUAAUCUUGCACUUUGACUUUGCUUCUGUCUUUAUUCGAGCUUUCAUCUAAAUCUAAAAAUUUUAUCAUGAUAUAGCAAGGGUGAGCAACAAAUUUGUCCAGCAAGUGUUAAAUACAAUGAAGAUAUAUCAUGAUUGAAAAGAAUGAAUAAGCUUUCAAGUUUUCAACAAUAUAAUAAUUGUGAAAUAACAUGAAUCAAGUUUCAAUAAUUGCAUGACUGAAUUAAUAAUGUUUGAAGGUCAACAAUGACCAUAAAUAAUUUAAUUGCACCUUAUGGUAAUGAAGGUGAUCAGCCUUUUAUACCUGAUGAACAUAUGCAACAUGCACUAAGUGCGAAUCAAUAAUCAGUUUAGGCAUGAAUAAUCAUCAAUAAUCAUUCACUAAAAUACUUUGAAAUAUAACUCGAGUUUGAGUUAAGGAAACUUGCCUGAUUCGUUGACUAUUGCUACGCAAUUUCAGUUAACUUCUUUUUGGUAAGACCUAUCAUUAAUAAGAUUGGUCUUUCAAUCAGCAUAUUCUACUUUGUAUCAUAAUACAAUUACUUUAUCAAUCAAUUAUCUAACACUUAAUCAAAUAUUAGAUAACUUCUUAACACAUCAGUAUUAUUAUUGUCCUUUGAUAAUUUUUAAUCACUAUAUCAUAUCCNNNNNNNNNNNNNNNNNNNNNNNNNNNNNNNNNNNNNNNNNNNNNNNNNNNNNNNNNNNNNNNNNNNNNNNNNNNNNNNNNNNNNNNNNNNNNNNNNNNNAACAUCUUAACACAUCAGUAUUAUUAUCAUUCUUUGAUAAUUCUUCAAUCACUGUAUCAUAUACAUUAUGAUUUAUCACUUGCUUUUUCAUUUUAUAAGUUAUUCUUUAACAUCUAUUAAGUUAAAUAUUAAUCCAGCCACCUGGAUUCUAAAUCCAACAACCCAAACUGCAAUCUAGCUAACUGGAUUCCAAAUCCAGCGACCUGGAUUCAACAGAUUUCCAAUCCAGGAAGCCUGGAUUCACCAAUACUUCAAUCCAGCAAGCUGGAUUCAUAAUCCUUCAAUCCAGCAAGCCUGGAUUCAUAAAUCUUUCAAUCCAGCAAGCUGAAUUCAUCAAAUUUUCCAAUCCAGCAAGCUGGAUUCCAUAUCCUUUUCAUGAAAAACAAUAAAUCACAUAUUAUUUUUCUAUCCUUUUCCCAAACACAUAAUAUAGUUCAUUGAAUAUCAAUUUCAACAAUUACAUUGAAAAAUAUCAUAAAUCUCUUAUUUUAAUCAUCCGUCGAAUAUUAUUAAUUAUGUAAUAAUAUUUUACGCUAAGGUUAUUAACCUUUUAAGAACAUUACAUUCAAAUACUACUAAUAAUAUCUUAAUCCAAUAUUAUUAGUCAUAUAACAAUAAGUUAAGUCAUUAAUCACAUUAAUAAACAAUUGUUUUUAAUUGUUUUCCUUUUAUUAAUACACUUGUUUAAGCAUUCUAAAAUGCCAUAAACAUCACAACACUUCACACCCGACCCAAAACUUCAUCAAAAACCUUCAUAAGUCAUGCUCAAGGGUCUCAAGUCAUAAAUCGUACUUUUCAUAUUUUUGGACAUCAUAUAAUUAAUUAAAUCUAUUUAUUCAUUUAUCAUCAUUUAGAUGAAAAUACCAAAUCAGUUCCAAAAAUAUUUAUUUUCUGGGAUUUGACAGAAUAUAGUUUCAUAUUGAACAUAUAUUUUUUCCGGAAUUUUUAAAAUAGAUUUACUAUAUUUAAAUAGUCCAUAAUAGCCAAAUAUUCUCUGAUUUUUCAUAAAUCGAGAUUAACUCCAAAAAUUCUGAAAUUUUUACAGUAUGCUCCUGCUAUACACAUGUACUUCCAGUAUAAAUUUUGUAAUUUUUGGACUUACACACAGAGAGUUAUUCGGGUGACUUCACAAAAAUAGUCCUUCACCGUAAAAUCCAUAACUCUCAAACCGUAUGGCCAAAAAUUCUCAAAUUUUUACACAACCUGCAUAUCUUCUGAUAUUAACACCCCAAAUUUUUCCAGAAUUUUUAAAGUACAAAAAGAGGACAAAACGGUCCCCGUUUUAGACUGCCCCAAAACAGUCUUAUUUUCUUUUCCAAAAUCGGGACUGUUUUGGCUUAAUCAGCCACUACACCAUGAAAACUCAACAUUUUUGAGUUCUACCACUUGGGUUAACUAGUAAACACGUAUAUCUAUCACCCCUCUUUGACGGGUCGUAAAAAGGAGUUAUAGAUUUAAAACGGUGGAUUUUCAAAGUAAAUAGAAAUUUUUUGAUUUCAAAACUAGAAAAAUUAAUUUUCUUUUCCUUUUUGAUUAAAACAAAAUAAACACCCAAUAUGGGUAAAUCUAAACAUGAAACACUCAUCAACAUGGAUACCCAUGGUUUUUGAGUUUAUAAACAUAAAUCCAAGCUUUGAUUUGGAAAAAUCAAAAUCAAUUACAUAAACUAGUUUUAGGAUUUACCUCUUUUCUCAAAAUCUUCCUUCUUCUUCUUCUUUCUUCUUCCAUGGAGGAUGUUAUCUCUCCUCCUCUUCUCCCUCAUGGCUGCCGCACCUUCUCCUCUUCUCUUUCUCGGUUUUUCUUUUCUUUCCCAUUCUCUUCUUUUUCCUUUCUCUUUCUCUCUCUUCUUCUCUUAUCUUCUCUUUAUCCUUAUUGCCGAUUCUUCUCUUUUUUUUCUCC